rnacentral:rRNA from 1 species
GCUAGGGUAGUAUAGCUUUUCCCUUACACCGAAAAGCUCUCCGUGCAAAUCGGAGCACCCUGAAGCCCAUAAGCUAGCUCAUACACUAAGAUAAACCCUCGAUAUUUAUAACUUAACAUAAAGAACUUAACUUAAAAUAAAACAUUCACCCCUCAGAGUAUAGGCGAUAGAAAUAAAAAAUGAAGCAAUAAUUAAGUACCGUAAGGAAAAGCUGAAAAAGAAAUGAAACAAAUCAGUUAAGCCUAAAAAAGCAAAGAUUACUACUUGUACCUUUUGCAUCAUGGUCUAGUUAGUCUCUAUUAAGCAAAAAGAAUUUCAGUUUAAUACCCCGAAACCAGGGGAGCUACCUCAAGACAGUCUAUUAAUUUAGGACCUACCCGUCUCUGUGGCAAGAGAGUGGGGAGAGCUUCAGGUAGAGGUGAUAAACCUACCGAACCUGGUGAUAGCUGGUUGCCUGAGAAAUGAAUAGGAGUUCAGCACUUAAUCUUCUUAAAACACCUGUAACUUGAACAGUCUAAAGAAAAUUAAAUAGUUAGUCAAAAGGGGUCCAGCCCUUUUAACAAAAGAAACAACUUUUUUAGGUGGAUAAAGUUCAUAAAUCUAUAAGGCAAAAUACACCUGU